GACGAACGCUGGCGGCGUGCUUAACACAUGCAAGUCGAACGGGUCUGCCCUGUUUUUUGCGGGGUGGGUCAGUGGCGAACGGGUGAGUAACACGUGAGUAACCUGCCCCUCACUUCUGGAUAACCGCUUGAAAGGGUGGCUAAUACGGGGUGUUCUGGCUGUGCCGCAUGGUGUGGCUGGGAAAGAUUCACUUUUGUGGUGUUUUGGUGGGGGAUGGGCUCGCGGCCUAUCAGCUUGUUGGUGGGGUGAUGGCCUGCCAAGGCUUUGACGGGUAGCCGGCCUGAGAGGGUGGGCGGCCACACUGGGACUGAGAUACGGCCGAGACUCAUGGGGGAGGCAGCAGUGGGGGGUAUUGAACAAUGGGCGGAAGCCUGAUGCAGCGACGUCGCGUGAGGGAUGGAGGCCUUCGGGUUGUGAACCUCUUUCGCCGGUGAAGAAGGUCCUGCUCUUUGGGGUGGGGUUGACGGUAGCCGGGUUAUGAAGCGCCGGCUAACUACGUG
rnacentral:rRNA from 1 species